CUACGUGCCAGCAGCCGCGGUAAUACGGAAGGUCCAGGCGUUAUCCGGAUUUAUUGGGUUUAAAGGGUGCGUAGGCCGUUUGAUAAGCGUGCUGUGAAAUAUAGUGGCUCAACCUCUAUCGUGCAGCGCGAACUGUUGAACUUGAGUGCGUAGUAGGUAGGCGGAAUUCGUGGUGUAGCGGUGAAAUGCUUAGAUAUCAUGAAGAACUCCGAUUGCGAAGGCAGCAUACGGGAGUGUAACUGACGCUUAAGCUCGAAGGUGCGGGUAUCGAACAGGAUUAGAUACCCUGGUAGUCCGCACAGUAAACGAUGGAUGCCCGCUGUUAGCGCCUGGCGUUAGCGGCUAAGCGAAAGCAUUAAGCAUCCCACCUGGGGAGUACGCCGGCAACGGUGAAACUCAAAGGAAUUGACGGGGGCCCGCACAAGCGGAGGAACAUGUGGUUUAAUUCGAUGAUACGCGAGGAACCUUACCCGGGCUUGAAUUGCAGAGGAAUUAUUUAGAGAUA
rnacentral:rRNA from 1 species